CCUACGGGAGGCAGCAGUGAGGAAUAUUGGUCAAUGGGGGGAACCCUGACCGAGCAACGCCGCGUGAACGAAGAAGUUAUUCGUAAUGUAAAGUUCUUUUAACAGGGAAGAAAGAGAAAUUUGACGGUACCUGAAGAAUAAGCUCCGGCUAACUACGUGCCAGCAGCCGCGGUAAUACGUAGGGAGCGAGCGUUAUCCGGAAUUAUUGGGCGUAAAGGGUGCGUAGAUGGCAUAGUAAGUCUUUUGUAAAAAUGCUGGGCUCAACCCAGUAGGGCAAAAGAUACUGCAAAGCUAGAGUAUGACAGAGGCAAGUGGAACUACAUGUGUAGCGGUAAAAUGCGUAGAUAUAUGUAAGAACACCAGUGGCGAAGGCGGCUUGCUGGGUCGAUACUGACAUUGAGGCACGAAAGCGUGGGGAGCAAACAGGAUUAGAUACCCGAGUAGUC
rnacentral:rRNA from 1 species